rnacentral:misc_RNA from 1 species
AACGCACAUUGCGCCCGCCAGUAUUCUGGCGGGCAUGCCUGUUCGAGCGUCAUUUCAACCAUCAAGCCCCCGGGCUUGUGUUGGGGACCUGCGGCUGCCGCAGGCCCCGAAAACCAGUGGCGGGCUCGCUGUCACUCCGAGCGUAGUAGUUACACCUCGCUCAGGGCGUGCUGCGGGUGCCGGCCGUUAAAGCCUCUAUUACCCAAAGGUUGACCUCGGAUCAGGUAGGAAGACCCGCUGAACUUAA